CACAUCUGGGCGAUACUUCCUCGGAGGUUAAUCAGGCUGAUAUUGUACAGUCAGCCCGGCGCUUACUGCACUUACUAACAUCGGCUGAAAGACAGCGGGGCACAGCUAAUAGUGAUGUCACUAAUCACACUACAGGAGAACAGAGGCAGAACAGCCACAAUGACAGUUCAGUCAAUCGUUCUGCAAGACCAUCUCUUCAGAUGGAAAUGACAAGAUCCUUUCCAGGUAUGUUUUCCAAGGGCAGAGGAAAGCGACGCUUUCCUGCAGCAAAUUCAGUCCCUGCAAAGAAAAU